rnacentral:tRNA from 1 species
GGGCGAUUAGCUCAGUUGGUUAGAGCACCGUACUCACACUGCGGGGGUCGUUGGUUCGAGUCCAAUAUCGCCCA